GCCUGCUUUGAAGAAAUAGGUCUUUUCUUGUGGUGUUUACAACUAUUUGAUCACAACCAGUUACAGAUUCCUUUGUUCCUUCUCCACUCCCACUGUUUCACUUGAUCAGCCUUUA
rnacentral:sRNA from 1 species